GAUGAACGCUGGCGGCGUGCCUAAUACAUGCAAGUCGAGCGAACAGACGAUGAGCUUGCUCCUCUGCCGUUAGCGGCGGACGGGCGAGUAACACGUGGAUAACCUACCUAUAAUACUGGGAUAACUUCGGGAAACCGGUGCUACUACCACAUAAUAUAUUGAACCGCAUGGUUCAAUAGUGAUACACGGUUUUGCUGUCACUUAUAGAUGGAUCCGCGCGGCAUUAGCUAGUUGGUAAGGUAACGGCUUACCAAGGCGACGAUGCGUAGCCGACCUGAGAGGGUGAUCGGCCACACUGGAACUGAGACACGGUCCAGACUCCUACGGGAGGCAGCAGUAGGGAAUCUUCCGCAAUGGGCGAAAGCCUGACGGAGCAACGCCGCGUGAGUGAUGAAGGUCUUCGGAUCGUAAAACUCUGUUAUUAGGGAAGAACAAAUGUGUAAGUAACUAUGCACGUCUUGACGGUACCUAAUCAGAAAGCCACGGCUAACUACGUG
rnacentral:rRNA from 1 species